rnacentral:rRNA from 1 species
AUUGAACGCUGUCGGCAUGCCUUACACACGCUAGUCGAACGGUAACAGGUCUUCGGAUGCUGACGAGUGGCGAACGGGUGAGUAAUACAUCGGAACGUGCCUAGUAGUGGGGGAUAACUACUCGAAAGAGUGGCUAAUACCGCAUGAGAUCUACGGAUGAAAGCAGGGGAUCGCAAGACCUUGUGCUACUAGAGCGGCCGAUGGCAGAUUAGGUAGUUGGUGGGAUAAAAGCUUACCAAGCCGACGAUCUGUAGCUGGUCUGAGAGGACGAUCGACCACACUGGGACAGAGAAACGGCCCAGACUCCAACGAGAGGCAGCAGUGGGGAAUUAUGGACAAUGGGCGCAAGCCUGAUCCACCAAUGCAGCGUGCAGGAUUAAGGCAUUCGGGUUGUAAACUGCUUUUGUACGGAACGAAAAGCCCCGGGUUAAUACCCUGGGGUCAUGACGGUACCGUAAGAAUAAGCACCGGCUAACUACGUGCCAGCCGCCGCAGUAA